AGGGGGAAGCUACUGUGGCUCGGUGGGAGAGGACGAAGGAAGGUUGGUGAGAGAGAGACAGGUUUGUUUUGUAUCGGCAGUAAGAUGAAAGCGUGGUGAAUGAGGGAAGGAUGAAGGAAAAACAGGAUUCCCAGAGCCCAGUCAGGCUGGGGAAGGCUCACCCAGCUCUCAAAGCCUUCUUGUGCGGCUCUCUGAGCGGCACAUGCUCCACGCUCCUCUUCCAGCCUUUGGAUCUGGUCAAGACACGACUUCAGACUCUGCAGAACAACGCCAAGCCAGGUUCACCGAAGGUGGGGAUGUUUACAGUUUUCAUCAGUGUUAUCAGGACAGAGAAGUUCUUCAGUCUGUGGAAGGGAGUUUCACCUUCAUUUGUUCGCUGUAUCCCCGGGGUGGGGAUCUACUUCAGCACCUUCUACUCCCUGAAGCAGCACUACUUCUUGGAUCGAGCUCCGAACGCGGGCGAGGCUGUUCUGCUUGGAGCAGGAGCCAGAACUGUGGCUGGAGUCUGCAUGCUGCCAUUCACCGUUAUCAAGGCCCGCUUUGAGAGUGGACGCUACAACUAUGCAAGUGUUGCUGGUGCCCUCAGGAGCAUGUAUGAGACUGAGGGAGUCAAGGCUCUGUUCUCCGGGCUCACCGCCACUCUGCUCCGAGACGCUCCUUUCUCCGGCAUCUACGUCAUGUUUUAUAGUCAGGCUAAGCGAGCGCUGCCACAAGAGGUGACGUCGGCGCCAUACGCCCCGCUGGUGAACUUUAGCUGUGGAGUCGUUGCUGGUGUCAUGGCGUCGCUGGCCACACAGCCUGCAGAUGUGGUCAAGACCCACAUUCAAGUCCGCUCAUCCCACUGGAGCACAACGGAUGCUGUUCUCUACAUCUACAGGUUUGAGCAUCGGAACGAGCCCCCGCGCUGAGAGAACAAACAUCUCAGCCCUGAAGCCGAUCUUCAUCCGCAUGCGUCACAGAUCACAUGAUCAGGAAGCAACACAUCCAUGUGUUAGGAGAUCGUUUUGGGCCGUUCCUGUAAAAAAAGUGAGGCGCGAACCGGAAAAGCGUCUGCCGAUCACAAUUCGACAACGGAUUAUGAAAGAAUGGAUAACGCUUUGAAACACGUGGCUUCUUCCUGAUGUAAGAGGUGAGUCUCCUCUUUGUUUUGGUUGUUUUGGCAUCGACAUCAUGCUAGCGCGCAACGUUCUGUGACUCUUAAAAAAACAGUAAAAAUGGUGAGAAACGCUGGCAGCGAAGGCCGUUAGUGAUCAGGAAACGGCUGGCAGUGAAUGAGUUAAGAGGUGGAAGUGUUACUAACGUAAGAGUAGAGGGGUCAUAUGACAGUCGGCGUUUUCCCCAAGGAUGCUUUGACAUGUGAGGGGGGAUCCAGGAUCAAACCACCAACCUCCUGAUCAUCUGUCCCCCGAGCUUCAGCUGCCAUUUGUAAGAAAAAGGCACAGAUGAAGUGGAGUUUCUCCAGACAGUCCCGGCUCUCCCAUGCUCCAUCUUUGGUUAAAGCUCCACAGCGUCUCAUCAUUGGACACAGUUGAUCUCCUCCUUGAGACCAGGCCUGGUACAUCAGAGGGUCACCGUUCACCCACAGCCAGCUGUCUUCAAGGUAACGCAGACCGAUCCACACCCGCUCAGUGACACUCGUCUGACUGAUCUCCUUUGUUGCCAGAAUAUUCUCGGUCUCAGAGAGCAGGCUGGUGAAGUUAGAGUGUUUUUCACUGCAGUGCUCCAGAGCCUCCUCCCAGGUCUUCUCCUCCUGCACCAGAGUCAGCGUAAAACAGAAGAAAUCAUUUUUAUGACCACCGUCGUCCCAUUCCCAUCCAUCGUUUUUCCAACGGACAUUAUCUCUCAGGUGUGGUGGUGAAGUACCACCGCUGUAUGAUAAAUCCAGAUUGUUGUCAUAGGUGACAUUUUCUCCAUCUGACCAUUUCCACAUUUGGAAGUUUGCGUCCCAGUAUGCACCGAUCCAUCCUCUCUUGCUCUCAUCCACAGACAAUCUGAACAGCUUUUCUUCCGAUUCACUGGUGAGACAUGAAAGGUCAACGUGAACGUUUUGGCAGUGUGCUCGAGCUUCAGCCCAAGAAAGGCCGUUUUGGAUAAAGACGUGUUUAGCAGACAAACAGCAGGCACCUGCAACGAUGAUCACUCUGAAGACGAUCCUCUCCAUCCUGCUUCCGUCUGUGUUCAGCUCCUCUAAGUCUGGGGCUUUAUUCUCUUCCUUUCAGAGAUGAGGACAGCACAUUUUCAUACGUUUAGACAAGAUCACUGACGACUUAAACAAAGUAGGACGAUGUGUUUUUAAAACAAAUCUUUCCCAGCCAAAUAUUCAAAGUGUGUUAAAAGCUGGGUUUGGCAUGUGGUAGAAGAAAAAUUCAACAAAAUGCUCAUAAAAACUGCAGUUUAUCUAGUUAGGCUUUUAGUGUUCCCUGAGAUCUGCCCAGAAACUCUGGCAUGCUGCAAUCCACACCUGUCAACAAAAAUGUCAGGUAAUGCUUUCUCUCUCUCGCUUAUAUUAAGUAAUUAAUGUCCGUUCAUAAUUAUGUUCUUAUGUGUCUGGUUUGGGAGUUACCGUUAGUCUUGACAUAGUGGAAGUGAAAGUCCCACUAGUUGUCACACUGGUGUGUUUGAAAUGUGUUCUCCGCAUUUGACCCAUCCCCGUGGAGCGGUGAGCUGCAGACACAGCCAUGCCCAGGAACCAUUUGGGGAUUUAAACCAAACCAGUCUGUGAUGAUCAAAUGCAUUACUAGUUUGAGUAGUUCUCAAUUAUUUUGAUUGUUUUUGUCAGGGCUCCUAACUACCUUAUUUGGUUAGUAGGAAAAUUGAAAGGCAUGCUUAAAAGAGCCCAGGGCGGUAAUGGCUAAUUUGAUUAAUGACUUUCUGUUAUUUGGAUUAAUGUUCAUUAUCUGUGGUUCCUGUGAUUUGCAACCUUCAAGGUUGAGAAAGUUUAUUGCAUAAAUGUUAAAUCCUCUCAGGCUCGAAAUAAGUUUUGAUAAAAGGACGAACAACUAAGGCCCUGUCCACACGUAGCCGGGGAUCUGCCAAAACGUAGAUAUUUUUCUACGUUUUGGCCUGUCAUCCACACGAAAACAGAGUUUUUUCACACGAAAACAGAGUUUUUUAAAAACUCCGGCCAAAGUGAAGAUCUGCGUUUUCUCCGUUUUGGGUGUCUGCGUGUGGACGGACAAAACCGGAGUUUUAAGGUCCGCAACGUCACUUUCCGCGACAAAAAAAUGCUGACAUCACGUGUGCGACCUGUGUUUACACUAGCCGACAGCAUGGAUGCCCUCAGAGCUGCGCUCGCUUUAUCAAUUGUCCAAGCGCUUUUUGCUUGUUUGUUUUUGCAAGCGGAAUUACUGCUCCUUGCGGAAGACCACAGACGAAGGACGAGGUUAAGAACGGGGGAAGUACUGCCGCCUACAGGUCUGGCAUGUCCUUAACAACGUAUUUAUCCAGGUACGUGUGGACAGAUUUUUUUUUAAACGAGGUGGUGUGGAUGCAAGUUUUUGGAGGGGCGGAUAUUCGUUUUUAAAAAAAAACCCGGCUACGUGUGGACUAGGCCUCAGUCCUUCAGGGGUACUUCUGAGUUAAAAAAUGCUCAUGAAAUACGUAUGUGGAGUAACCAGGUAGGUAGGUUUUAACUGUUGCAAAUCUGCAACGCCUACCUCCAGAGGGUUAAGAGGAGUUCUUUCUAGCUAGUGUUACUGGUCCUCUUAGAGGUAGAUGAGACAUGGAUGGUAUCCUGGACAACCGUAAAUCGUGUCUUUGUUAGAAAACAUCUGGAAGGGGGGAGGGCAGGAUCAGGAGGGUAUUUAGUCUGUUAUCAUUUCUCUCUCUCAGGACACACGCUCCUGAUAUGCUUUUGGAAAGAUGACCUAUGAGGCAAUAUCCCUUUCUUUCUUGUUCUUUUGCAACCAUCCAGCUUUGAGCUCCAGGCUUCAGGAGAGAAACACCGCAAUGUCAGCACAUCAUUAAUUUCCCAGCUGCACCUCAAUAUGUGGUCAACUUCCCACCAGUUAAUUACCAGUUGUUCCCUCAGUCCAGCUGCCAGACCCUUCUGUUGCUCAUCUGUUUCAUGUUAACUUUCUGCACGAGUCUUUUUUUAAAGAUUCAAGUCUUUUGAGUCCAUUCAUGUUCCCUGCGUCUUUGAUCCAACCUUGGAUAGGUGCACAGGUGUUUAAAUAUAAGCAAACAAACAAGCUCAGUAGUUAGGGAGUUGUUCUCAUCAGGAUUUAUAAGGAAUUCUUGUUCUUACCCUACGUUCUGUUGGAAAGAAGAACAAAUCCUUUAUAUAGCGGGCAUUUACCGCUUUCUCCUCCACAUCGAGAGGGACCAAUUGAGGUGGCUCGGGCAUCUGGUCAGGAUGCCUCCUGGACGCCUCCCUGGUGAGGUUUUCUGGGCUCGUCCAACCAGGAGGAGACCUAAAGGUAUACCCAGGACACUUUGGAGGGACUACGUCUCUCACCUGGCCAGGGAACUCCUUGGGAUUCCCCUGGAAGAGCUGGCCCAAGUGGCUGGGGAGAGGGAAGUCUGGGCCUGAAGCUUGGUUUAUGCUUGACGCAUUCACUUUCCGCGCGGUGAUGCGGCUUGCGGCUGGAACGCGCUUCACAACUCGCAGCGUUUAUGGUUCAUGCGGCUUGUCUCUGCGGUGAGACAAUAUUCUCCCAAACUGUAGGGGGCAGCAUGGAGCUCUACGGCAUGCAUCCAACACUACACCAUAGUAGAUGUAGAAAUUACUGUUUACAACAUGGCAUUUCAGCAUUUUUAACAGCGUCCUCGUCUUUUCCGACAGCGCGAGCUAUUUCUCUCCAAGAAUUAUUAACAACAUGUUGAUCACGGUGAUCUCUGAGAGCUGAAUCAUACAAAUGUCUGUAUUUACGAACCUCUGCCAUACUAGUUCUAGCCGGUCCACCAUGUUUUUUCGCGUCCGACCGUCCGCGUGGUUAUAAAUUUUCCUAGGUGCGCGUUGCGGAAAUUUUGGGCAGUGCGGAGACGCGGUGGAGGGGCGUGGUUGUUAAAAUGACGUAAUUUUGCCGCGCGGACCUCGCGGACGCGUCAAGCAUAAACCAACCUUUAGGCUACUGCCCCCGCGACCCGACUCCGAAUAAGCGGAAGAAAAUGGAUGGAUGGAUGGAUGGAUGGAUGGAUGAACACAGCUUUCUGUUAAUUAAGUUGAAUGAAUAAAAAUUCUCAUUUCAUGUUUAAAAUUUUUAUUAA